rnacentral:tRNA from 1 species
UCCCUUGUGGCUCAGCUGGUAAAGAAUCUGCCUACAAUGCAGGAGACCUGGGUUCAAAACCUGGUUUGGGAA